rnacentral:rRNA from 1 species
UGGGUACCUGCCUUCCAGUGAGGAAUACCGGCGAGAAAUCGCCGACAAGACCGCAUGAGCUUGCGAGGGGGACCUCGCAAGGAAAGCUUCGUAAGAGGCGCUGGAAGAGGGGCCUGUGGCCGAUUAGCUGGUUGGUGGGGUAACGGCUCACCAAGGCUGCGAUCGGUAGCUGGUCUGAGAGGACGAGCAGCCACACUGGGAUUGAGAACGGCCCAG